rnacentral:lncRNA from 1 species
UCUUGGAUCCCACGUCACAUGAAAUUGUCUUUCAGAGAUGUCUCCUUACUCUUUUUUUCACACUACAGUUUUACACUAACACCAAAAUUACCAUCAUUAGGUGACCUAACUGUAUUUUCCCAGUGUUUAAAAAUGGUUGAAUGAAUCACUAAAAAAUUCUACCAGGCAGAUCAAAGCAUCUGCAGAAAAGCCAUCAUUCUAUAUUAAAUCUUAUUGAAUUGGUUCCAAAAUUAUGAGUAAUCUUUAUGAGAUGAUUGGUAUUUUAAUGUCUGCUAAUCAAGUUUGCACCUAAUAAUCCAAUCGAUUGUCAGGCUUUAUCACUUUCUCACCUGUAUCAAUGUCUCAAUGUCAAGCCUGAAAGGACUGACAUAAUGUGAGGUAUUUUCAUCACUAAAAAUUACUUCUGUUUUAAGAUGAAACAACAUUGUGUGUGCCAUGUUGCCUCAGUGCAGUGUUGCAUAUAUAUAGGAUAGUCAUGUUAUAACUCUGCCAUGUUUCAGAACCAUGAAGCCUAUAUUCAAAAUUAGCAAAAAAAAAAAUAUUCUUUUUUCCCCCUUAUAUAUUUCCAUAUUGCUUUUAUGAAUCUAAAAGAAAUGCACAUCAGCAUUUCAUAUAGAAAGUGCCACACUCAGCUUCACACCUUACUCUGUGGCCAGGAAAUGCUUGAUAUUCCAUAUCCUCUACAUGGCUGAGCUGCUGCUGUCACCCACGAUGUCGAUGUACUUGAGAGCUUCUGGUUGUUAAAAGGCUCCCAGUAGGUCUGUUUGGGAAGCACAAACUGCAGUUUCCAGGCAACAUUACGGAAAUCCAUGAAUACUUGCCAUUAAUCACAAAAUCUCCUAUUCCAAUAGGAAUUUUAUAGUCAAUUGUGAAGCAUUAAAAGUCAACUGUUACCAGGAUCAUGGUUAUUUAGAAUCAUUUUUUUGAAGCUAACAGUGCACAGCAAUUCAUUCUUAGAGCAGAAGAACGACCUGUUUUGGGGUAUAGGAAGGUUGUGCUGAAAUCUUUUAAGCUUAUUUUGAUGUACACGAUGGCUUCAUUGAAGUCAGUUGAGGAUCAAGGUCUGCACAAAUUCCAAUAUAGUUUCAUACAGAAGACUACAAAGGAAGGGCUGUAGGGAAGAUUAACAGUAAAUGCUGCAUAUCACAAAACUAGUAAGUAGGUGGUUGUCUUUGAACUUACUGUGAGAGAAUACAUUUUAUAUCAACAGCCAUCAGUGACAGAAAGACACAAAUAAAAACAUGUGGUAAUCACUGCCUACUGAAAACAGUUGUUUUCAAACAUCUGCUCUCUCACUGAACUGCUUUACAACACUGUUUUGACAUAAAUAUAUCUCCAACAUCUUUUAUCUCAUAUACUUCUUUUAAUAGUUUUCUGAAAUGUAUUUUAAGUACUUGGUGCAAUUAGUAAGCCUAGUUAAGCCUUAUUUGUACACUUGAUUUCCUUUACCCGGUGCUGGCAAGUCCAAACGACAUUCACCGCUACGGGAGUGAAUAGCAUAAACAUGAGGUAGAGCUUUAGACAGUUGAAUUCUAUACUGAAACCCUUACAAUGCCACAAAAAACUAUCACCUACUGUGCAAACAAAGACACAAGCACAGUAUGAAAACCAGUACCCUACCAUCUUAAAUAUUUCCUGUACACCUCAAAGACAAGUCCUAGAUUUUCAAUAAUGUAUGGCAUGACCAUUCUAUUUUUACUCUACACAGCCUUGAUUCUACAAGUAGCGAGACUGGUCUGCCCAGAAAUAACAUUAUCUGAUGUUUCAAUGACUAACAGAUCAGUUUAUAAUAAUCUUGUAGAUCAUGAAGAAUGAGCAUCAGGCUGGAUUAAGUAGGACUUGUUUGACCUGUUCAGCUAGAGGUGGACUCUGACAAUUUGAUUCCAGCCUGCAGUGUGAAGCAAAAGGCUCAUCCAGAAAACUGUGAGCCCUAUGCCUACCUUCCUAGUUAAAAUAAUUUUCUGGGUAUAUUUUUCUAUAUAAGCAACUCCUAACUAAAUAACAGUUGUCAUCUCCAACUACCUCAGAUCAAGAGUUCAUUACUGCAUUUUCCACUUAUAUUCCUAACUUUGACCUUGGAACUACUCCUAAGACAGUGAGCAGUAAUUCAGUCUCCUGACUACCUCAUUCUAAGAGGAUCUCUCCUGAGAGCAGGCUGCUAAAGGCAGUUUUGUAUUUGACCCAGUGCUAGAACAACAAACUCCAUUUCAGUUUGAGUUACAGUUUGGGUUUGGUCCAGGACUACAGAUGGCAUCAAAUGCAGUUUUCUUUCUUGUAAAAUCACAAAUCAGCAGCAUUUCUACCUUGGGGAAGGUGGCAUUUUCAAGUGCACUCAUCACUGAUCUUCCUCUCCUUCUUCCUGUGCAUUUCAUAUGGGAAAAAUGGAGGGGAGGGGGGAUGAACACAACAACAUCCAAAGGUUUCUUAAUACUGAAAAAUUAAAAAAGAGAAAGAGGAUACCUGAACUAGCGUUAAUCCUAUUGAUGGUGCUCAAACAGAUAACCUUUUCAGGUCUCAAAGUUUCUUUCCGCAUAACAACUAUUUGGGAAAGAAACCUUAUAAUUUCUGUAGUUAACAGUGAGAGCUUCAGUAACUUAAACUAUUAUAACAUUCUACCACUAUUUCUUGAAAACAGUAUAUAGUAAUGUAUUUGAGAGAUCCAACUUAUUUUAAGGUUAUAUAGAAUUCUGUAUUCAAAAUGACUGCAUCAUUUGAUAUGAAUAAAUUACUCUGUUUCUUUUGUGUUUUAUGAAGCCUUAUAGUACAAUACAAAACAAUUUAUACAAGCAUCGCCAUGAAUAAUGACCACACUGACAACUUUUGACUGGACUCACAGAUUGCAUGUUUCUUUCCUUUGACUGGUAAAUGGACAAAGAGAUUGGUUCAAUCAAAGAGUCAUUGAUCUAGGGAAAGUAUUUUUCUAUUUCUGUUUAGUUAAAGUGACAAAUCUUAAUGAGAUUGUUUAAGCUGACUUAAAACUGAUUUAUACUGAUUUUUUUUUUAUUUGAUUAGUUACUAUGAACACAGAUAAGGAACGAGACCCAGUAAUAGAUAUUUGUGCCUGAUUGUGAUCCCAUAAUACCACAGACUUAUCAGAGUCAAGUUUGAUUUCAACUGCAGCAGUAGGCAAAUGAAGAUGAGGCCCCAGACCAUAACAUUUUAUAUCUAUGUAUACAUGUAUGUGUGUCUGUGUGUGUACAUAUAUAUUUGGUUAUACAAAUAUGUAUUACCAUUAAUAUCCCUCCUACUACAUUCCCCUGUCAAGGGAAAUUCCCCUGUUCAGAAGUUGGACUCAAUGAUCCUUGAGGAUCCCUUCCAACUCAGGGUAUUCUAUGAUUGUAUGAAAUCAAAUGUAGAAAAUGGAAAAUUUGCUUCACCUAAGACAUUAUAAAUUUGAUGGAUUUGAAAUAAUUUAGGUAAUUGUCUUGCAAAGAUGAUUAAGUAACAUAAUGGUCUACCCCACAUAAUGAUACAUUCUUUACACAUUCAGCAUGAUUUGUACAGCAGAGGUUGACAGCAGUCUAGUUGGAUGCCUGGUACAGAAAGCUGUUUCCAGGAGGGCAGGUGGUAGCAGGAAGGAUUAAUGCAGUCCUGGCCUGUCUCUGAUGGAGGAAUGGGGACUGAGAAUGGGGUGAUAGCAGAUGGAAGCCUCGUUGCUCCCUUCCACUACUUGUUCUCAAACUGACCCAAGGAGGUCCCCUCCCCCACCUUCUCCAUCAGGGUCAAAGCUGCUGCCCCCACAGCCCAAUCUGGUUGUCUCUUGCAAACCCACUUUGGUCCUCUGGCAAAGUACACAGUAGGUUGUACUUGGCUGAAGGGUGACUGAUGGAUCUGCAGUCUUCUUCAUUCACUUCAUCCCUGCAUGACAGAGCCUCAGUAAACGUUCCAUUCCAACCUUUCCAUUCUCUUCCAGCUUUCCUCUGCUGACAAAUCAGACCCCUCAACACCCAUCAUCAGCAUCCCCAGUUCAGGUAUCAGCUCUCAGAUCUGCACAGUGGGUGUCAUCACCUGGCACCACCUCAUUCUGC